GGAGGGUGCAAGCGUUAUCCGGAUUCACUGGGUUUAAAGGGUGCGUAGGUGGGUUGGUAAGUCAGUGGUGAAAUCUCUAGGCUUAACCUGGAAACUGCCAUUGAUACUAUCAAUCUUGAAUCUCGCGUAGGUAAGCGGAAUAUGUCAUGUAGCGGUGAAAUGCUUAGAUAUGACAUAGAACACCAAUUGCGAAGGCAGCUUACUUCACGAGUAUUGACACUGAGGCACGAAAGCGUGGGGAGCAAACAGGAUUAGAUACCCUGGUAGUCCACGCCCUAAACGAUGGAUACUCGACAUUAGCGAUACACUGUUAGUGUCUGAGCGAAAGCAUUAAGUAUCCCACCUGGGAAGUACGACCGCAAGGUUGAA
rnacentral:rRNA from 1 species